UACGGGGGGGGCAAGCGUUGUUCGGAAUUACUGGGCGUAAAGGGCUCGUAGGCGGCCAUCUAAGUCGGACGUGAAAUCCCUCGGCUUAACCGGGGAAGGGCCUUGGAAACUGCCGGUCUUGAGGGAGGUAGGGGCCUGUGGAACUUCGGGUGGAGCGGUGAAAUGCGUUGAUAUCCGAAGGAACGCCGGUGGCGAAAGCGACGGGCUGGAUCUCUUCUGACGCUGAGGCGCGAAAGCUAGGGUAGCGAACGGG
rnacentral:rRNA from 1 species